CAGCAGCCGCGGUAAUACGAAGGGUGCAAGCGUUAAUCGGAAUUACUGGGCGUAAAGCGUGCGUAGGCGGUUUGUUAAGUCUGCUGUGAAAUCCCCGGGCUCAACCUGGGAAUGGCAGUGGAUACUGGCAAGCUAGAGUGUGUCAGAGGAUGGUGGAAUUCCCGGUGUAGCGGUGAAAUGCGUAGAGAUCGGGAGGAACAUCAGUGGCGAAGGCGGCCAUCUGGGACAACACUGACGCUGAGGCACGAAAGCGCGGGGAGCAAACAGGAUUAGAUACCCCCGUAGUCCCUGUCUCUUAUAA
rnacentral:rRNA from 1 species